GAAAGUGGGGGAAUGGAUUGGCUUGCAAAACUGAUGUAAGUUGGGGUCUAGGUCGAACAAAAAGAAAAUUGGGGAAGGGGAUAACUGAUAUUUAACAAAUCAUUACUGUUGCCUUAAAACCCAUCUAUAAAAUCCCCAUUUCCUAAACUUUCAAAGGGGAUCAGAACAAUAAAAAUCAGAGAUGGCUGAGUCUGAAAGGUUUUGAAAGAACAAUUGAAUUUCCUGUAUUUUCCUUAGUCAGAAAUUGAUUCAAUUUUGCCACAAAUUGCAUAGUUAACCUGAGCAUUUGAGUCUCCAUAGAAUGGUCUUCAGUGGUUUUUUUUCCUACUGGUGUGAAGAAGCUGUGUUUUGCUUGGAUUUGCUAGCUUUUUAUUGUUACAUUGUUGUUGAUAUUGUUCUGUUGUUGCUGAUCCCUCAUUCUUCUUGCUUUUUUUGCUUUUCCAGGUAUCUCUUGGAACCAUAAACAACAUGUGAUAUGUGAAUCUGCACUUUGAAUGUGAAACACUUUGGAUACAAGUUGAAUCUCAAGUUUAUUUCUUCUAUUUCUGUAUAAUUAUGUAUAUAAACCCUAUAUUAUGCAUGUUAGUCUAGCCCUUUCUCAUGUUGCUAAAGUCUUGUAAAGUGAAUCCAUGUUUGCUCGUUGGUCUGAUUCUGUGAGGGUUUGAGUAUGAGGUUUGGAUUCACAUGAAUUGAAGUUCUGAUCAUAUAGGUUACAAAGUUAUUGAAAUAGGUUUUUGGACAUAUGUGUGUCGUGAGAUCACUGUAAUAGAAGUUCAGG
rnacentral:lncRNA from 1 species